rnacentral:rRNA from 1 species
GAGUUUGAUCGUGGCUCAGGACGAACGCUGGCGGCGUGCUUAACACAUGCAAGUCGAGCGAGGCCCUUCCUUCGGGAAGGUGCCCUAGCGGCGAACGGGUGAGUAACACGUGGGCAACCUGCCCCUAGCACUGGGAUAACUCCGGGAAACCGGGGCUAAUACCGGAUAUGACGUUCGAGGGCAUCCUCGUUCGUGUAAAGGAUUCUGGCUAGGGGAUGGGCCCGCGGCCUAUCAGCUUGUUGGUGGGGUAACGGCCUACCAAGGCGACGACGGGUAGCCGGCCUGAGAGGGUGACCGGCCACACUGGGACUGAGACACGGCCCCAGACUCCUACGGGAGGCAGCAGUGGGGAAUCUUGCACAAUGGGCGAAAGCCUGAUGCAGCGACGCCGCGUGAGGGAUGACUGCCUUCGGGUUGUAAACCGUCUUUCAGCAGGGACGAAGCGAAAGUGACGGUGCCUGCAGAAGAAGCACCGGCCAACUACGUGCCAGCAGCCGCCGCAGU